rnacentral:rRNA from 1 species
UACGUAGGGUGCGAGCGUUGUCCGGAAUUAUUGGGCGUAAAGAGCUCGUAGGCGGUGUGUCACGUCGGCCGUGAAAACCUGCAGCUCAACUGCAGGCUUGCGGGCGAUACGGGCAGGCUAGAGUUCGGUAGGGGAGACUGGAAUUCCUGGUGUAGCGGUGAAAUGCGCAGAUAUCAGGAGGAACACCGAUGGCGAAGGCAGGUCUCUGGGCAUUAACUGACGCUGAGGAGCGAAAGCAUGGGGAGCGAACAGG